rnacentral:lncRNA from 1 species
AUGAUGUGAUUAUUAUGAUCAAUGUUUCUCAUUUGGUAUUUGCAGGCUUUGGCGCCAUUGUCCGAAAAAGUGACCAACACAUGCAUCCAACAAAAACAUAACGUUGGUUUUAGCUAUUAAGCUAGGAAAUUGAAGAGGAGCAAAACUCAUUCUAAAAGCAACAAGAGGCAUAUGCUCCUUAUGUUGGUUCAUUGCCGCAUGAUAAAAUGGUCAUUAUCGUUAUGCAUACGGCGAUGAGGCAUGAUUUGCAUUUGAGUAUGGUUAAAGCAGCUAUUCAAGAGUUUUUACUAAUUUUUUUAUUUGUUACUAAUGUAUUUUCUUUCAUAUCAAUUGUUUACAAUAGGUUUAGUGUUAUUGGAUUGUAAGAUAUGAUUCAAGUGAAACAUAUUUCGUUAGGUGUUAGGUGUUACGUGAUGAUUGUUUUUUCAAUUGGUCAAAAACGUAUGCGAAGUUAUUGGUUGAAGCUGUUGAUGCAG